GCGGGCGUGGCGGAACUGGCAGACGCGCUAGACUUAGGAUCUAGUGCCAUUAGGCGUGGGAGUUCAAAUCUCUUCGCCCGCACCA
rnacentral:tRNA from 1 species